rnacentral:misc_RNA from 1 species
GAUGAAGAACGUAGCGAAAUGCGAUACGUAAUGUGAAUUGCAGAAUUCAGUGAAUCAUCGAAUCUUUGAACGCAUAUUGCGCUCUCUGGUAUUCCGGAGAGCAUGCUUGUUUGAGUAUCAGUAAACACCUCAACUCCCCUUUCUUUUUUUGAAAUGGGAGCUGGACUUGAGUGAUCCCAACGCUUUUCUCACCGAAAAGUGGCGGGUUACUUGAAAUGCAGGUGCAGCUGGACUUUUCUCUGAGCUAAAAGCAUAUCUAUUUAGUCUGCCUAAAAAACAGAUUAUUACCUUUGCUGCAGCUAACAUAAAGGAGAUUAGUUCUUGUGCUGAUUGAUGCAGGAUUCACAGAGACAGCUUCGGCUGGCCUUUGUAAACUCGAUCUCAAAUCAAGUAAGACUACCCGCUGAACUUAAGCAUAUCAAUAAGCGGAGGA